GACAGAGGGUGCAAACGUUGUUCGGAAUUACUGGGCGUAAAGCGCGUGUAGGUUGUCUCGCAAGUCGGGUGUGAAAGCCCUGGGCUCAACCUAGGAAGUGCACUCGAAACUGCGAGACUUGAGUCCUGGAGAGGAAGGCGGAAUUCUCGGUGUAGAGGUGAAAUUCGUAGAUAUCGAGAGGAACACCGGUGGCGAAGGCGGCCUUCUGGACAGUGACUGACGCUGAGACGCGAAAGCGUGGGGAGCGAACAGG
rnacentral:rRNA from 1 species